rnacentral:rRNA from 2 species
AAGUCUGAUGGAGCAACGCCGCGUGAGUGAUGAAGGUUUUCGGAUCGUAAAACUCUGUUGUAAGGGAAGAACCAGUACGUCAGGCAAUGGACGUACCUUGACGGUACCAGAGGAGGAAGCCACGGCUAACUACGUGCCAGCAGCCGCGGUAAUACGUAGGUGGCGAGCGUUGUCCGGAUUUACUGGGCGUAAAGGGUGCGUAGGCGGAUAUUUAAGUCAGAUGUGAAAACCCCGGGCUUAACUUGGGGACUGCAUUUGAAACUGGAUAUCUAGAGUGCAGGAGAGGAAAGCGGAAUUCCUAGUGUAGCGGUGAAAUGCGUAGAGAUUAGGAAGAACACCAGUGGCGAAGGCGGCUUUCUGGACUGUAACUGACGCUGAGGCACGAAAGCGUGGGUAGCAAACA